rnacentral:rRNA from 1 species
GCAUGCUAGUUGUACGAGUUCAGACUCGUAGCAGAUAGCUCAGUAACACGUGGCCAAACUACCCUAUGGAUCCGGACAACCUCGGGAAACUGAGGCUAAUCCGGAAUACGACUCUCAGCCUGGAAGUGGCGAGAGUCAGAAACGCCCCGGCGCCAUAGGAUGUGGCUGCGGCCGAUUAGGUAGACGGUGGGGUAACGGCCCACCGUGCCCAUAAUCGGUACGGGUUGUGAGAGCAAGAGCCCGGAGACGGUAUCUGAGACAAGAUACCGGGCCCUACGGGGCGCAGCAGGCGCGAAACCUUUACACUGCACGAAAGUGCGAUAAGGGGACUCCAAGUGCGAGGGCAUAUAGUCCUCGCUUUUCACUACCGUAAGGAGGUAGUAGAAUAAGUGCUGGGCAAGACCGGUGCCAGCCGCCGCGGUAAUACCGGCAGCACGAGUGAUGACCGCUCUUAUUGGGCCUAAAGCGUCCGUAGCUGGCCACGCAAGUCUAUCGGGAAAUCCGCGCGCUCAACGCGCGGGCGUCCGGUGGAAACUGUGUGGCUUGGGACCGGAAGAUCCAGAGGGUACGUCUGGGGUAGGAGUGAAAUCCCGUAAUCCUGGACGGACCACCGGUGGCGAAAGCGCUCUGGAAAGACGGAUCCGACGGUGAGGGACGAAAGCCCGGGUCACGAACCGGAUUAGAUACCCGGGUAGUCCGAGCUGUAAACGAUGUCUGCUAGGUGUGCCACAGGCUACGAGCCUGUGGUGUGCCGUAGGGAAGCCGUGAAGCAGACCGCCUGGGAAGUACGUCCGCAAGGAUGAAACUUAA